GAUAUUAUAGGUUAAUAAAACCGGAGGUCUUCAAAACCUUAAAUAAUAAAUUUAAAAUUUAAUGUCA
rnacentral:tRNA from 1 species